rnacentral:rRNA from 1 species
CCUACGGGAGGCAGCAGUGGGGAAUAUUGCACAAUGGGGGAAACCCUGAUGCAGCAACGCCGCGUGAAGGAUGAAGGCCUUUGGGUCGUAAACUUCUGUUCUAAGGGAAGAUAGUGACGGUACCUUAGGAGCAAGUCCCGGCUAACUACGUGCCAGCAGCCGCGGUAAUACGUAGGGGGCAAGCGUUAUCCGGAAUUAUUGGGCGUAAAGAGUACGUAGGUGGUUUUCUAAGCACGGGGUUUAAGGCAAUGGCUUAACCAUUGUUCGCCUUGUGAACUGGAAGACUUGAGUGCAGGAGAGGAAAGCGGAAUUCCUAGUGUAGCGGUGAAAUGCGUAGAUAUUAGGAGGAACACCAGUGGCGAAGGCGGCUUUCUGGACUGUAACUGACACUGAGGUACGAAAGCGUGGGGAGCAAACAGGAUUA